rnacentral:lncRNA from 1 species
UCAAAGUCACCAUCGAAGCUUCAAAGAAAAGCAACUGAUUUCGGGUGUGUUCAUGCUUCAUCUCACGUCGUCAACUUCAUCUCGGGUGUGCUGAUGCUUGUUGAAAGCUGAUUUCUAGAGUGAGAAACAACAAUCUUCAUCAUAUUCAUCAAGAACACCAAGAACACAUAGAGAGAAGCAAGUUUGAAGAUCUUCAUCGUGUUCAUCACACGGUUUCUAGAUUCCGUGAAUGGAUGUUUAUGUUCAAGAUAAAGAUGGUUAUCAAGACGCAAAACGUAGCUAGAUUUUUUAUGAUUUUUAUGUGUGCAAUUACUAACAACCCAUGA